CGCGGAGUAGAGCAGUCUGGUAGCUCGUCGGGCUCAUAACCCGAAGGUCAAUGGUUCGAAUCCAUUCUCCGCUA
rnacentral:tRNA from 1 species